rnacentral:rRNA from 1 species
AGAGUUUGAUCAUGGCUCAGAACGAACGCUGGCGGCAUGCCUAACACAUGCAAGUCGAACGCGGGGCUUCGGCCCUGAGUGGCGCACGGGUGAGUAGCGCGUGGGAACCUGCCUUGGAGUGGGGGAUAACCGAGGGAAACUUCGGCUAAUACCGCAUGAUCCCGGGAAACCGGGCAAAGAUUUAUCGCUCUAAGAGGGGC